AGGGCCGGCGGGGCGGGUGCGGGCGGUUGCGUGUGAGGGCUGAGGGUGCGGCCCCGCUGCUGCCCGGGCUGCGGAGGGGAGAGCGCCUUGGCCGCUGGCCGUGCCCUCCCUGGGGCUCAGCUCAGGUCCGUGCCCAGCGGCUGGUGGAGUGUGGCGAGUUGUGCUUCCUGCCGGGCGGGAGCUGCCUUGGGAAGCUGCUCUGUCCCCACGGCUGUGCCGAGCUGGGAGCUUGGACAGCAGGAUGUCGAGUGCCACCGUGUCCCUGAGGUCACCCUUUCUCCUGUUGGGAGAGCACGAGGCGGAUGGAGAGGAUCCACAGGCAUCUGCAGGCACAAGGGACUUCUAUGACUCCAACUUGCCUACUGCAGAUGUAGGAUGGACUUUCAAGAUACCAUUGGGAAUGUGCCAGCACUCUCCUGCUGGAGUUUUUGUCUGCUGUAUUUGAACACAAUGAGUAAAACUGAAGUCAGUGUCCCAGUGUCCCUGCUUGGCUGUUUGUUGCCCUGCAGGCAGAAGAGCCCAGGCCUGAGAUGGCUGAGUGUUGGUGUGAGCCACAGUGGGUGUCCCUGCCCUCGGGACAGUCCCCAGAGCUGCCUUUGGCAUCCCCUGCUGAAGGGUGGGAGCUGCCCAGAGCCAGCAGCAUCCAGCUGGAGGAUCCAGGAGGAUGCAGCUCCUGUUGUCUGGGAGGUGUUGACUCAGUACCUUCCUUGGAGCUGCUGUUGGAUGAAGAGGUGCCCCCAAUUGACCUGGAAGGUCCUGGUUUUCUUCCCUGCUUCUCCCAGCUUGUCCAGGAGAUGGAAUUCCAGUGCUACAGUCUGGGGAAUAACUCCUGUCAGCAGCAAGGCCCCGACUGAAGUGGC